UCACCCCUCAAGCCCUCGGCUUGGUGUUGGACGGUUUGGUGGAGACCCCCUUCGCGGGCUUCUACCCCUCCCAAAGACAAUGACGGCGGCCUCGUUGGACCCCCGGUACACUGAGUUCUUCACGGGACACGUAUCGGACACACGGGUUUACGGGACACGGUCUGCCUCCCCUCGGGGAGAAUCUUCUUAUCAA
rnacentral:misc_RNA from 1 species